rnacentral:rRNA from 1 species
GAUUAAGUUAUUAAGGGCGCACGGUGGAUGCCUUGGCACUAGAAGCCGAUGAAGGACGUUACUAACGACGAUAUGCUUUGGGGAGCUGUAAGUAAGCUUUGAUCCAGAGAUUUCCGAAUGGGGAAACCCAGCAUGAGUUAUGUCAUGUUAUCGAUAUGUGAAUACAUAGCAUAUCAGAAGGCACACCCGGAGAACUGAAACAUCUUAGUACCCGGAGGAAGAGAAAGAAAAUUCGAUUCCCUUAGUAGCGGCGAGCGAAACGGGAAGAGCCCAAACCAACAAGCUUGCUUGUUGGGGUUGUAGGACACUCUAUACGGAGUUACAAAGGACGACAUUAGACGAAUCAUCUGGAAAGAUGAAUCAAAGAAGGUAAUAAUCCUGUAGUCGAAAAUGUUGUCUCUCUUGAGUGGAUCCUGAGUACGACGGAGCACGUGAAAUUCCGUCGGAAUCUGGGAGGACCAUCUCCUAAGGCUAAAUACUCUCUAGUGACCGAUAGUGAACCAGUACCGUGAGGGAAAGGUGAAAAGCACCCCGGAAGGGGAGUGAAAUAGAACCUGAAACCGUGUGCUUACAAGUAGUCAGAGCCCGUUAAUGGGUGAUGGCGUGCCUUUUGUAGAAUGAACCGGCGAGUUACGAUUUGAUGCAAGGUUAAGCAGUAAAUGUGGAGCCGUAGCGAAAGCGAGUCUGAAUAGGGCGUUUAGUAUUUGGUCGUAGACCCGAAACCAGGUGAUCUACCCUUGGUCAGGUUGAAGUUCAGGUAACACUGAAUGGAGGACCGAACCGACUUACGUUGAAAAGUGAGCGGAUGAACUGAGGGUAGCGGAGAAAUUCCAAUCGAACCUGGAGAUAGCUGGUUCUCUCCGAAAUAGCUUUAGGGCUAGCCUCAAGUGAUGAUUAUUGGAGGUAGAGCACUGUUUGGACGAGGGGCCCCUCUCGGGUUACCGAAUUCAGACAAACUCCGAAUGCCAAUUAAUUUAACUUGGGAGUCAGAACAUGGGUGAUAAGGUCCGUGUUCGAAAGGGAAACAGCCCAGACCACCAGCUAAGGUCCCAAAAUAUAUGUUAAGUGGAAAAGGAUGUGGCGUUGCCCAGACAACUAGGAUGUUGGCUUAGAAGCAGCCAUCAUUUAAAGAGUGCGUAAUAGCUCACUAGUCGAGUGACACUGCGCCGAAAAUGUACCGGGGCUAAACAUAUUACCGAAGCUGUGGAUUGUCCUUUGGACAAUGGUAGGAGAGCGUUCUAAGGGCGUUGAAGCAUGAUCGUAAGGA